AUGGCCUGGUGCCCUCUGCUCCUCAUGCUCAUCUCUCAUUGCACAGGAUCCUGGGCCCAGUCUGUGCUGACCCAGCCACAGUCAGUCUCAGGGAACCUGGGCCAGAGGGUCACCAUCUCCUGCACUGGAAGCAGCAACAACAUUGGGAGUAAUUAUGUGAACUGGUACCAACAGCUCUCAGGAACAGCCCCCAAACUCCUGAUACAUGGUAGCAGCAAUCGACCCUCCGGGGUCCCUGAUCGAUCCUCUGGCUCCAAGUCUGGCAGCUCAGCCACCCUGACCAUCACUGGGCUCCAGCCUGAGGACGAGGCUGAUUAUCACUGUACAAGUUGGGACAGCAUGUAG